rnacentral:lncRNA from 1 species
CUUUAUUUUGAAAAUAAUAGCAAUUUUGUAUCCACAUUACACGAAUUAAUGCAUUUAAUUCUUAACAACAUUUUAACGAGUUGUUACUGACUCCAUUUUGUAGUUACAUAAACUGAGGAGGCACAGAGAAGUUAAGUAAUUUGCCCAAGGUGACUCAAUUACUGGUGGAACUGAGCUACAUACCCAUGCAGUCUGUAUCCAGAGCCCAUGUGCUUUUCCACUAUUCUGUACUAUUUUUGUUUGUGAUUUUUUAAGACUAUAUAGAUUUUCUUAAGAAAAUGGAAUCCAGUAUUUUUACAUGUAAUUUUUCCCAUAUCACCUACCAACUAAGAAUAUUCUUUGAUCUUGCAAAUAGAAUCACUCAGCAGUUCAGUAGUCUGCCUGUCUUUUCCACCCUCUUCUUGCCAUACAGUUGCUGCUUAUCCCCUUUAAUCUUGAUUCCUGUCCCCCACCUUUUCUAUAUAAGCUUUAACCCAUUUGGCUUCCAGGGUACCCAAUGUAGCCCCAGCCAAGAGAGAGGCAAGCCUGGAGAUGAAGUUGCAGGACUUGUCUAAGCCAUUCUCUUCUCAAGUCAAAGGUACACAGACCACAGAUUUAAAAAAAAAAAAAAAAAAAAAAAAAAGGGAGGGGGUGGAGCAGAGUACUCAGUAUGAUCACCUUAUGCUCACUUGCAAAUAAUUAUGAUGGCUAUUCAGUCAAGAAGCAUUUAGUAAACAGCUUCUCUUUGUACCUGGAACUGUGUAGGGAGGCAGAGAUGAAACUAGGAAGUAGAGAGGAGGGAAGAGGAAGGUGUGCUGCUACCCUAUUGUCAAUUGUCUUUCAGUCUUGUACUUUCAUUCAAGCUAGUAUUUCUUAGCUAGUAUUGUGUCAACAAAAAUGAAGGCAUUUUUAUUAAGCAGAUGAGGUGAUGUGGUUUAGAGGUCUAGUUAAUGAAGAGCAUUAUAUACUCUCACAUCCAUGCUGUAAAUCCUGUUCCUCAGCCUCAGAGAACCUCUAAUACAUGCAGCAUUGGUAUUUGAAAGAAUUAAGUGAUUAAAAUUAUCCAACCUUGUGCUGCAAAGCAUAAACAUAAAUGUUCCUCUUCCAAAAAUUCAAAUAAUUGCUUUGAAGAAGGCAAAAACUGUAGAAUACUUAAAUUUUAAUUUAUCCACUGAUAAAUUUUGUGGGUUUUCUUUAGUAAAGAGGAAGAAGACUGAUACAGGAUAAUAUCAAAGAUCAAUGAAGAUUUGGGAAAUUAGUAACGAUGUAGAAACUCAAAAUGAUGGGAAUUUUUUCCCUUCUUUUUUAGAAAGAAAAUAUUAGAGAAAUAAGGUCAAGUAAUUUAUGUUUGGAGACUGUUAUUACAUCCCUGGCAUAUCUCUAUCCAUGAAAUAUGAAACCUGUGUAAGGAGAUUCAUCUUUACUUAGGUUCGUAAUUAUACACUACAAAGAGUGUUUUAUUCCAUUAAAUUCACUGUGAUAGUCAUUUUGCUACAUAUAUAUGUUGCAUAGUUUUGUUUUUGUUUUUUUUAAUGGUUUUUAUCUUUACUUUUUUUUUAAAGAUUUAUUUAUUUGAGAGAGCACAAACAGGGGGAGGGGCAGAGGAAGAGAGAGUAUCCUCAAGCAGACUCCCUACUGAGCAUGGAGGCCAGUGCAGAGCUUAAUCCCAGGACCCCACGAUCAUGACCUGAGCCUAAAUCAAGAGCCAGCUGCUCAACCAAGCUGCUAGGCACCCCUAUAUUAUAUAGUUUUGAUUCAUUAACCUACAAUCUUAACUUUCUUCUAUUCAGCAAAACAUUUUAGCAUUGAGAAUUGGUUAAUAACACGUGAUUUUUUAAUUCCUUCAUUUUAUAUUUUUAUGUUAUUCAUUUAUACUUUAAACGAAUUUCAGAUCUGCAUAAAUUUGUGAAAGUGUAUGCACAGUACUGUUCCUCACAGCGUUUUUUAUAAAGCCAAAAAUUGGUAAGAAUCCAAAGGUCUCUAAACAAGAAUUUGGUUAUUCAGGUGAAUAUUUAAAAUGAUGAAGUAGAUUUGUAAUUAUUGAUAUAAAAAGUUUUUACAACAUUACAAAAGCAGACUAUAAAUUCAUCUUUUUUAAAUUGUGUGUUUAGAGAAGUAGCCCAGGAAGAUAUUAAGGCAAAAUGUUAACAGUACUUCUGAGUAAAUUUACAGAUGGUCUUCACCUACAGUUUUCAGUCUUAUGUAUUGUUUGAAGUGGUUUUUAUUAAUUAUUGCUUUUAUAGUUAGCAUGUAUAGUUUUACAAGUGGAAAAAUAAUAUUUUUAUAGUCAAACUUGGAAAGGUAAAAGGAACUCCGAAAGAAAUCUAAUGUUAAUUGUUUAAGCAUAGAAAAAAACUUUACAUAAUGCAUGUCAAUUCUCUCAGUGCUCUAACUUGCUUUAAGAUUUCCCCCCUUCUUCUCCUACUGAAAUAGUAUUAACACCUGAUUGUAACACCUUUUCCCACACACAGCUUCCUGUUCCCUAUCCUUCAUCUGUUCCCUUCUUCCUCCUUUGAGCUGAAAUGACAGACCUAUCUUAUUCCCCAUAAUGCCCACACUGUGAGAAUACAAUUUGAGGCAGAACAUGAAUGUCACUGGUCAUUCAGACAGUAAGCCUGUCCUUUACCUCAAUCAGUGCGUCAGCUCAGAGCAUGAUUCUAGUCCAGGGAUCGAGUCUUUCAUUGGGCUCCCUUCGAGGAGCCUGCUUCUCCCUCUGCCUGUGUCUCUGCCUCUCUGUGUCUCUCAUGAAUAAAUAAAUAAAAUCUUUAAAAAAAAAAAAAAAAGGAAUGCACAGAUGGAUCUUCAGUGCAUUUCACUAAUAGAGAUCAUGUUCAAUUAAACAUUUGUCUUGAAUGAUGUAGACUUCAGCUCUUGAAGAUACCUUGAUGACUGAAGCUUUUGCAUUCUAGACUGCCAGAAAUUGGGAUAAGAUGAUUUUUUUUUCAAGAGUGGAGAACUGUGACUCAGACCUCUCUUUGGCACUUUAGACUCUAAAGCCAUUACUUAAUCUGAACUGAAAGACCACAGUUCUUAAAAAUAUCUUAACCAGUUUUCAGGCAUUUGGUAUUAUUAGUUUAAAUCUUUUUGAACCUGGUUGGUUUUUUUUGGUGUUUUUUUUUUUUUUUUUUUUAUUCACAAGAGACAGAGAGGCAGAGGGAGAAGCAGGCUCCAUGCAGGGAGCCUGAUGUGGGACUCGAACCUGGGAAUCCAGGAUCACACCCUGAGCCAAAGGCAGGCACUCAACUGCUGAGCCACUCAGGCAUCCCUGAACCUGGUUGGUUUAAGUGAUAGUUUUAGUUUCAACAUUUGGGCAAAGUGAAGGAGAAAAAUCACAAAGUAGCCAGAGAGGCAGAAGUUCUCAACAAACCUCCUCCCCGCCUGCCCCCCACACACUGGGUAAUCUAUUUAAAUUGUUUGUGAUAUAAGUGAAUGUAAGAAACUAGCCUCUCCCUAGAAUAAAUACAAUCAAGCCUAGCACAAGUCCAAGAAAACAUAAGCAAGGUUUCUUAAAAUGUAAGCAAUGUCUUGUGGAGAGAAGGCUUGGAAAUGCUUUGUCAGCAGCAGUCUCUGCAGAUCAUUAAAAGAUGGUAUUUCUGUUGCACCUCUAAUAUUGAGAAUGUAUGACCAUGAGUAUCUUAUUAAGCCAGAAUCUUCCCAAGUUAUAGGUUGCGUUAGACCAUAGGCACACUUCCUUACUCUUUUCAUCUUUAACAUACUGUUUGCUAAUUUUGCUCCUUUCCCUUUUGGUUCCUCCUUAUCCAUCUGCUCUAAUACACUCAAAUUCUCAACACCAAAAACAGAGGAAAUAAAAAUCAGGGAAGGAGUGAAACUAGGGAAUGGAGAGAAAGGGGUACAUUCUGGGACCCCCAGAAACCUAAAUUACUUUAUUUUUAAUUGCUCUGAUUUUUUUUUUCCCCCAAUCCUCUCUGGGUAGAGAGCAAUCUCCCAAGCAGUGUGUAGUUAAGUGUGUGGGCUCCAGGCUCAGAGCCUCGUGCCGCCACUUACUCUGUCUUGGGCAAGUGGCUUACUACCCUCCUAGUGUUUCAGUUCCUGAAGUGUCAGUUCCUCAGACCUUUAUGGAGUUAGUAUGUUAAAGUUUAGGACAUAUUAGCUAUUAUUUAAUAUCUACCAGUAUUUUAAUAAUAAAGAGCUAUAUGGAUUUUGCUAUUUCCACCUUUGGAGGAAGAAGUAGACCAUCUUCCCCUGUGUCAAUAGGUCUCACUAAGGCUGCUGCUUGCUCAUGUUCAGCUGAGGAUCCUGAAUUCUCCCCCAGUGGAAGCACUGAAGGGUGUGAGUGCCACCACUGCCACCCCCUAGGGUCUAAGCCCCAGGGUGAAGGAAUUGGCCAGGCCAACAGAACCACUUCUCAAAGAGUUCUCCAUGAAACAGCUACCUAAAAACAUGGGGAGGAGAGUGAGAAGUGUGCAGUGGGGGCAGAGGGAGAGAAUAAGACCUGUCAAGAGGCAUGACAAGAGCCAUCAGUAAAAGCACAGGUAGAUGACUCUGGGCAGCUGGUGUGAAAUGCGAUCUGUCACUGUCAGGUCAUUUACGGGUCUUUGCUAAAGUGACAUUGUUCCAAGUUAGAGCAGCCCCUUCCCACCAUCUCCUCAUCUAUUCCUUGAAUGAAGGCUAGCUUUCCAGACACUCCUUUUCCCCAGCUUCGAAAGAAGAAAUGCUCCUGGUAUUUACUGAUUCCUGACUCUGUUUCCCUUCCAGCUGACCCUCUGGUGGGCAGCAUUGCCACACAGUACAUGACCAACAGAGCAGAGCACGACCGGAUGGCCAGACAGUGGACCAAGCGGUAUGCCACAUAGGGGCCUGCUGCUUGCUGCCCCCGCCGGACCUGUGCAAGCACAUUCACCAAGUGCAUCAAUAGCCCUACCCACCCCUCCAGACCUCGGUUCUUAUUUUCUUAUUUUUAUUAAAUUUUGAACCUUUUUCUGAUGGUAUGUCAUCCAUCCCCCCACUCCCUUCCUUCUCCCUCCCUCUUCUUCCUCCUUUUCCUUGCCUCUUCCCUCCACCACCACCCCUUCUCAAUUUAU